CCGGUGGGCCAGGGGCCAGACCCUGACCUGAGAAGAGGAGGAGCCUGAAUCCUGCUGCUGCCGAGAAGUUGAAAACAAAGCCAGAAGAGGUCCAUCUUCUGACCUUGAAAGUACUCCUUCCUAAGGACCCAGAAGGCCAGGUUUGAGGUCGGAGUCAUCAGAGUCCUUGGAGUUCUGCACGGGAAUGUGGCAGCGCAGGGAGAGCUGGUCUGGCACUCACACCUCCCCCCGCCCUGUCUUCCCACCUCAGCUCUGACCUGCACCUUGAGAGGCCUCAGGAGCAUGCCAGUGGGCUCUUCAGCUCACACGUUCCAGUUCCAACCACAGCCUCCCCUUGGCCGCCCUUAUGGCUAAAGCAUUAUUCACAAUAGCCAAGACAUGGAAGCAACCCAAGUGCCCUUCAUGGAUGGAGAGAUAAAGAAGAUGUGGUAUAUAUAUACAAUGGAAUACUACUCAGCCAUAAAAAAGACAAAACUGUCUCAUUUACAACCACAUGGAUGGACCCUGAAGGCUUCCAGAGGGACUGCAAAGCCCUUUACCAUGGUCUGGAUGCUGGAGAAGGUGCCUUUCCACGGGGCCAUAGGGGUGCAGGGGCAGGCAGGACAGGAUGUUCUCCGAGUUCCAGCAGCAGGACCAUCCCUCAGAACGCGCAGCAGAGCCAUGAUUAGGGCUGAAGCCUGGUUGUGGGGCAAAGGCCUUGCCUCACCUUUCACCACCGUCUCGCUUGAGAUGUCGCAAGUAUUUAGAGACUUGCCUUUUCCCCCCCUCUCAUCAGCUUUAUAACCCUGAACACAUUCUUAUUUUUCUUCCCAUCACUCAAUUUAUCAGCCCCUGGAACAAGUCUGUCACUCACCCGUGAGCCUAGAAGGCUCUCUGGUGAAUUGUAAGGCAGUUCACACUGGCUUGAUUGGGCAGAACAGGGUGGUGGUGGUUCUUAUCUUGGGUUUAAUUUGCUUAAGUUGUUCCCACCUCCUCUGCUCAGGUCUAGCGGCUCUUUGGGAGCUCUGGUCGGGUAUUUCGGUAGCAGGAUAAGAGUGGUUAAGAGCAUAAGUUUAGGCUGCGGAGGGGGCCUGGGUACAUGGCCCAGGUCUGCCAUUAAGGGCCACAUGACCCGGGACAUGUGGCUUGACCUCUCUGAGCCUCAAAGUUCUCAUCUGUAAAAUGGGAAAGAACAUUACCUGCCUCAAAGGAUUGCUGGGAGGAUGGAACGAGAAUGCUUAUGGAGCACUUAGCACUGCUCGAGGCACAAGGUUAUCCCCAUAAUCUUCCCAGCAGGACAAGGACAACCACAGGUCCGGGAUAAGGGUAUUGGGAUCAGAGAAUCAGGGGUUAUGAAGCCAGGCUUUUCGCCCUAGACAAGGGUGGAAGUGAAGAGGAAAGAGCUUGUUCUAGUUGAAAGAUCCAGUCAGGGUUCCUUAAGGUGGUAAAAGCCAAGAUUUUUAGGAUUGAAAGAGACCCUGGAAAUCCUCUGACUGAAAAGAAGGUAGCUCUGUAGCAGGAGAGUGAGAAAGAAGACGGGCCCGAGUGACCUCCACAAAGCACCACUUAUGAAGGAUUUGAGGUUUUGACGGGAGUGCCUGGUGGCUAAAAAUAGGACAGGACUGUGUGGGCUCCGUGAGCCUGGUUGCUCCUCAGGUGGAGAAAAAAGUUACCCCAUCCACCAGAGGGUCAGUUCCUCCUUUCCCCUGGAGGAGAUGCUGGAGACUUAGGAAACUGGAUGGACCAGGUCCUCGUUGCCGUAAUCUAGUUAUAACCAACCCAUGUUUCCCGUAUGGUCUGGCACAGAAACCAAAGGAAGGGUAUGCAGAGCUGGGCCCCGCUGGUUCCUUGGCAUGGCUGCUCUGCCCUCUGGGAAAGAUGGAGAAACCAGGGCUGGGAACCCAUAGGCCCCUAAGAAGAAAACAUCAACAACCAAAAUUACAGUUGGGAAGAACUGCCUCCAUCUGCAAGUAACUGGGCAAUUACCUCCUAAUUAAGCUCUCAUUAAUCUGUUUUCUGAGGGUGAUAGUACAGUACUUGGUAGGUGCACCCCACCCUGCUUGUCACUAAGGUGUUGAAGAUUAAGCAUUUCACAUCAAUCAAGGUGGAACUCUUCUAUCUGAUUAAAUAUAAUAGUCUGAUUUAUUCCAACAUGAUGAGGUCUUAAAAGCCAUGCCCUUUUAUCUUUGGAGCACUGGGAGGGGUUGCAGGAUUUUCAUUUUGAGUCCUGUGUUACAGGGGAGGAAGAGGAAGCACCAGGAGGGGAAAAGACACAAGGCAGAAUUCAGACCAGUGUUUUUCAAAGUGUGGACUAUGGAUCUCUCUUGCAUCUGAAUCACGUGCCUAUUAAAAAUGCAGAUUCCUGGGCCAGCCCUGAUGGCCUAGCAGUUAAAAGUUUGGUGCACUCCACCUCAGCAGCCCAGGUUCAGUUCCUGGUCACGGAACCAUACCACUCAUCUGUCAGUAGCCAUGCUGUGGUGGUGGCUCACAUUGAAGAAUUAGGACUUACAACUAGAAUACACAACUACGUACUGGGGCUUUGGGGAGGAAAAAAAAAGGGAGGAAGAUUGGCAACAGACCUUAGCUCAGGAUGGAACUUUCCCAGCAAAAAAAUAAAAACAAAUAAAAAUGCAAAUUCCUGGAGUCUGCUUCAGUCUUGAGUCUGAAACUUCCCACGUGAUUCUUACAAACACCCAGGUCUGAAAAUCUCAGGGAGAAGCAGAAAGUCUUCAGGGAUUUUAAAGACACUGAUAAAGGAAGUACACAGACAACUCAAAACACCAUUUCAGCCAAUCAUUUCUAAACCCAUCCCAGAAAAUCUUUCACUUUAGCAUUUAGCCUAGGUAAAGCUUGACCAUUCCCCUGGUUACACUUCAUCCAUCUACAGGUGGUGAUGCAAAUAGAAAAACAUCUGGCCCUUUUGGGCCAGAAGGUCAGAGAAGGAGGAGCAUGUUUGUGUAUAAACCAACCUCUAGAUCACCAAAGGCUGAUGUCUUGGUUCUAACUCCCUGGGCUCAGGUGUUGCAAAUGCUGACUUAGGGCCCCCUUAUCUACUGAUAACAAAGGUGAACAGAAGUGAUCUCCAGAAAUGGUUCACACACAGCUCCCAGGUUCUUGAAAAACCACAAGUG
rnacentral:lncRNA from 1 species